rnacentral:rRNA from 1 species
GUAUAGCACUUUAUACCGUGAAACUGCGAAUGGCUCAUUAAAUCAGUUAUCGUUUAUUUGAUAGUACCUUACUACAUGGAUACCUGUGGUAAUUCUAGAGCUAAUACAUGCUAAAAACCCCGACUUCGGAAGGGGUGUAUUUAUUAGAUAAAAAACCAAUGCCCUUCGGGGCUCCUUGGUGAUUCAUAAUAACUUAACGAAUCGCAUGGCCUUGCGCCGGCGAUGGUUCAUUCAAAUUUCUGCCCUAUCAACUUUCGAUGGUAGGAUAGUGGCCUACCAUGGUGGCAACGGGUAACGGGGAAUUAGGGUUCGAUUCCGGAGAGGGAGCCUGAGAAACGGCUACCACAUCCAAGGAAGGCAGCAGGCGCGCAAAUUACCCAAUCCCGACACGGGGAGGUAGUGACAAUAAAUACUGAUACGGGGCUCUUUUGGGUCUCGUAAUUGGAAUGAGUACAAUUUAAAUCCCUUAACGAGGAACAAUUGGAGGGCAAGUCUGGGC